rnacentral:misc_RNA from 1 species
CUUGAGAUUGUAUUACAUCCUAGGGAGGUUUCAGAUCUUAGACAACAGAAUCUCAAUCUCGGUAUUGGCUAAACUUCGUCCAGUAAAGUUCAGAUAGGCAUGAAUAUCACAACUCAAGAUACAGUUGUAGAUAGUACUGGGAUUGAAUUGGAUUACUUUAUUGAUCUUGAUCAAGUGAUACACCUACCAUAUGAAACACACACUCUAA